ACAGAUAUCAGGGCAAAGAACCUGCUAAAUGUUGCCUCUAUACUGGUAUAACUGGGUCCAGCAAGGAGAUUCACUGCAACAUGCAGAGACACUAACCCUUUGAGACAUUCUCCAUCCCUAUGGGAAGAAAGAGAAGUACAGAAAGUAUAUCUUUCCUCAUAUCCCUGUAAUGACCCAGUAGCAAAUACCUGCUGUUAUCUAACCCAGACUGGCAAGAGUGAAAUAGGACACAGAACACAAAAGAGGCAUAUGAACCCAGCAGAAUCAAAUGAAUAUGGAAAAUCUGAAUGGAAAUCAUUAGCGGCCUCCUUAAGAUGACCUAAAAUACCAUUAUAUUUUUCCUGUAAAGCCAUUAUAUUUACUGGAUGGAUGCCAGAUGCUUCUGAGAAGAAAGUUCACCCAAAUGCCCCACAGCCUCCACAUCUUCCAUUUCUGUCUGCCAUGUAAGCUUUACGUGCUUCGAAUG